rnacentral:rRNA from 1 species
AUUGAACGCUGGCGGCAGGCCUAACACAUGCAAGUCGAGCGGAGCGGCGGACGGGUGAGUAAUGCCUAGGAAUCUGCCUGGUAGUGGGGGAUAACGUCCGGAAACGGGCGCUAAUACCGCAUACUAUCAGAUGAGCCUAGGUCGGAUUAGCUAGUUGGUGGGGUAACGGCCUCCCAAGGCGACGAGCCGUAACUGGUCUGAGGGGCUGAUCAGUCAAACUGGAACUGAGACACGGUCCAGACGUCUCCGGUAGGCAGCAGUGGGGAAGAUGGGACCAUGGGCGAAAGCCUGAUCCAGCCAUGCCGCGUGUGUGAAGAAGGUCUUCGGAUUGUAAAGCACUUUAAGUUGGGAGGCGUUACCAACAGAAUAAGCACCGGCUAACUUCGUGCCAGCAGCCGCGGUAAUUC